CCGUUGCAAGGGACUCCGAAGAGCUGUGGCAAGGGGUGAAAAGCCAAUCUAACCUGGAGAUAGCUGGUCUUCUGCGAAACCCGUUCUAGCGGGUCGCCCAUUUAUUGAAAUUAAAUUCGUUACUAGACGGUACGGCACUGGAAGCCACGCAGCUUUUGCUGCAUAAUCGGGGGGCUGUCAUGGCUCUAUCGAUGGCUUCUAACCCCGGAAAUGUAUAGUAUACAAUGAUGGGCAAUCAGACGUAUCGUGAUAAGGCGAUUCGUCAAAAGGGCUACAGCCCAGAACAGGUGUGAAGGUCCCUAACAAGCUACUGAGUGAACACAAGGCAGUCCUCUCCAGUGUCUCUCCACAAAGUGGGCUUGGAAGCAGCCACCUUUUAGCGAUAGCGUAACAGCUCAGUGGUCUGAGCCUCCCUGUAAAAAGGGAAUAUUGCCUGGUGAGGGCGCCAAAAAUGUAACGGGUCUAUAGUAGUUGUCUCUCUGUUCCAGCUUUGGAUAUGGAGGGAGUGGCAGUUUCUUCACUGUCUCACCGAAACCCUGUCCUAGAUGUAAAAUUCUAGGGGUAGCAGAAUACCCAGCAAAUGGAAUGAAGCUUGCUCAUUGAGCCGGUGGACAUAGCUGGGCUAAGAAUGCUGACAUGAGUAGCCUAAAAGGAGGGUAAUUCCCUCUUCGCCGAAAGCAGAAGGGUUUCAUUUGUAAGGUCUAUACCUAGAUGAUUAAAGCAGCGGCCUCUAAGGUUCAGAGUAGCAAAUUAGUUCCGAUGAGUAACUCUUCUAUAGGGCAGUAACCUUUCUUAUAAGUUUACCUUCAAGUAAUUAGAGGUAUACUUCAAAGAGUAAGGUUCGGGAAAGAGCCCUAUAGUAACUUAAAACCGUACCCUAAACCGACACAGGUCUGCAAGUAGAGCAUACUAAGGCGUAGAGAUAAUCGUCUUGAAGGAACUCGGCAAAAUGACCCCGUAACUUCGGGAGAAGGGGUGCCACUAAUAAGUGGCGGCACAAAACAGGGGGGCGCGACUGUUUACUUAAAACACCGGACUCUGCUAACACUAGCGUGGAUGUAUAGAGU
rnacentral:rRNA from 1 species